rnacentral:rRNA from 1 species
UACGAAGGGGGCUAGCGUUGCUCGGAAUCACUGGGCGUAAAGCGUGCGUAGGUGGUUCGUUAAGUCUGAUGUGAAAGCCCUGGGCUCAACCUGGGAAUGGCAUUGGAAACUGGCGACCUAGAGUGCGGUAGAGGGUAGUGGAAUUCCCGGUGUAGCAGUGAAAUGCGUAGAGAUCGGGAGGAACAUCUGUGGCGAAGGCGACUGCCUGGACCAGCACUGACACUGAGGCACGAAAGCGUGGGGAGCAAACAGG